CAUGCAUUACAAAGAGACAUUUUUACACCAAAUGAUGAACGCCUGCUGAGCAUUGUGAAUGUCUGCAAAGCAGGAAAAAAGAAAAAGAACUGUUUUUUAUGUGCCACAGUGACAACUGAACGCCCUGUGCAGGUUAAGGUGGUCAAAGUCAAGAAAUCCGAUAAGGGAGAUUUCUACAAAAGGCAGAUUGCAUGGGCCCUUCGAGAUCUUGCUGUGGUAGAUGCCAAAGAUGCUAUCAAAGAAAAUCCUGAAUUUGAUUUACACUUUGAAAAAAUAUAUAAAUGGGUUGCCAGCAGCACUGCUGAAAAGAAUGCAUUUAUUUCAUGCAUUUGGAAAUUGAAUCAGCGAUAUCUCCGGAAGAAAAUUGAUUUUGUCAAUGUUAGCUCACAGCUUUUGGAAGAAUCUGUUCCAAGUGGAGAAAAUCAGAGUGUGACAGGAGGUGAUGAAGAAGUAGUAGAUGAAUACCAAGAGUUAAAUGCAAGAGAAGAACAGGAUAUCGAAAUAAUGAUGGAAGGCUGUGAAUAUGCAAUCUCGAAUGCGGAAGCCUUUGCAGAAAAAUUGUCCAGAGAGCUGCAGGUGCUAGAUGGGGUAAGACUUUCUUGAAUUCUAUGAAUAAGUGAUGUAUAGUGGAUUGAGAAGGCUAAUGAUGUUCAUAUUAUACUGCCUCAGCACUUAAGCCUUUAUAGUGUGUUAUUGCCAUCUUUAUCUAUAAGCACAUUACCAGCUGCCAUCAGUCUUUUACUGUUCUUGUUCAAAAGAUGAACUAUUCCUGUUAAGCCAAUGAAGACAGUUGGCUGAGAUUCUGGAUUUGGGGAGGU
rnacentral:sRNA from 1 species